rnacentral:rRNA from 1 species
UACGAAGGGUGCAAACGUUGCUCGGAAUUACUGGGCGUAAAGCGCGCGUAGGUGGUUGUUUAAGUUGGAUGUGAAAUCCCCGGGCUCAACCUGGGAACUGCAUCCAAAACUGGGCAGCUAGAGUAGGGUAGAGGGUGGUGGAAUUUCCUGUGUAGCGGUGAAAUGCGUAGAUAUAGGAAGGAACACCAGUGGCGAAGGCGACCACCUGGACUAAUACUGACACUGAGGUGCGAAAGCGUGGGGAGCAAACAGG